rnacentral:rRNA from 1 species
UACGUAGGUGGCAAGCGAUACUCGGAAUCACUAGGCGUAAAGCGCAGGUAGGCGGUUUGGUAAGUCUUUUGUGAAAGCUCCUGGCUUAACUGGGAGAGGUCAAGGGAAACUACCAGGCUAGAGUGCGGAAGAGGAAGCUGGAAUUCCCGGUGUAGCGGUGAAAUGCGUAGAUAUCAGGAGGAACACCUGCGGUGUAGACGGCUUACUGGACCAUCACUGACGCUGAGGCACGAAAGCGUGGGUAGCAAACAGGA